rnacentral:rRNA from 1 species
UACGGGAGGCAGCAGUGGGGAAUAUUGGACAAUGGGCGCAAGCCUGAUCCAGCAAUGCCGCGUGUGUGAAGAAGGCCUUCGGGUUGUAAAGCACUUUUUCGGGAGCGAAAUACCACGGGUUAAUAACCUAUGGGGCUGACGGUACCCGAGGAAUAAGCACCGGCUAACUUCGUGCCAGCAGCCGCGGUAAUACGAAGGGUGCAAGCGUUAAUCGGAAUUACUGGGCGUAAAGGGUGCGUAGGCGGUUCGUUAAGUCUGUUGUGAAAUCCCCGGGCUCAACCUGGGAAUGGCAAUGGAUACUGGCAAGCUAGAGUGUGUCAGAGGAUGGUGGAAUUCCCGGUGUAGCGGUGAAAUGCUAGAGAUCGGGAGGAACAUCAGUGGCGAAGGCGGCCAUCUGGGACAACACUGACGCUGAAGCACGAAAGCGUGGGGAGCAAACAGGAUUAGAUACCCUGGUAGUCCACGCCCUAAACGAUGCGAACUGGAUGUUGGUCUCAACUCGGAGAUCAGUGUCGAAGCUAACGCGUUAAGUUCGCCGCCUGGGGAGUACGGUCGCAAGACUGAAACUCAAAGGAAUUGACGGGGGCCCGCACAAGCGGUGGAGUAUGUGGUUUAUUCGAUGCAACGCGAAGAACCUUACCUGGCCUUGACAUGUCCGGAAUCGAGCAGAGAUGCUUGAGUGCCUUCGGGAAUCGGAACACAGGUGCUGCAUGGCUGUCGUCAGCUCGUGUCGUGAGAUGUUGGGUUAAGUCCCGCAACGAGCGCAACCCUUGUCAUUAGUUGCUACAUUUAGUUGGGCACUCUAAUGAGACUGCCGGUGACAAACCGGAGGAAGGUGGGGAUGACGUCAAGUCCUCAUGGCCCUUAUGGGUGGGCUUCACACGUCAUACAAUGGUACAUACAGAGGGCCGCCAACCCGCGAGGGGGAGCUAAUCCCAGAAAGUGUAUCGUAGUCCGGAUUGGAGUCUGCAACUCGACUCCAUGAAGUUGGAAUCGCUAGUAAUCGCGGAUCAGCAUGUCGCGGUGAAUACGUUCCCGGGUCUUGUACACACCGCCCGUCACACCAUGGGAGCGGGUUUCACCAGAAGUAGGUAGCCUAACCGCAAGGAGGGCGCUUACCACGGUGGGAUCGUGACUGGGGUGAAGUCGUAACAAGGUAACC